CUACACCAUGAAGCUGCUCUAUUUCCAGAUGUGUCCUCUGCAAGGAGUGAGCUGCACCUCCUGGUGACAAUUCUGAAGAUGUUCUUAGUGACAAGGGCCACCAGCAGCCAGACUGCACUGGAGGGAGAUGGAAAAUACUUUACACCAAGAUCUGGGUUAAUCCUCGCAUGGGUUGUGGCUUGUGAUGGUGCUGACCAAAUUUCAGACAAGAGAUGUGUCUCCUCUGCACACUUUUCAUCUCCAAGA